rnacentral:rRNA from 1 species
GACGAAGGUGGCGAGUGUUGUUCGGAAUCACUGGGCAUAAAGCGCACGUAGGCGGCGACGUAAGUUGGGUGUGAAAUCCCUCGGCCCAACCGAGGAACUGCGCCCAGUACUGCGUUGCUUGAGGAUCCAAGGGGUGCAUGGAAUUCCCGGUGGAGCGGUGAAAUGCGUUGAUAUCGGGAGGAACUCCGGCGGCGAAAGCGGUGCACUGGUGGAUUUCUGACGCUGAGGUGCGAAAGCCAGGGGAGCAAACGGG